CUGUCUACCACCGUCUGGCCUGGUUCUUUCUAUCUGCUAUACCUCAGUGAGCACGACUAAACUGAGCUUCAGCAGCAAUGUCAGGGCAGCGAGUGUGUGUGUCCGACUUUGAGGUGGAAGCCAGAAAGGUUCUUCCUAAAGCUGUCUAUGACUACUACAGUUCUGGAGCAGAGGAGCAGAUCACACUGGCUGACAAUGUGGCGGCCUUCAAAAGGUGGCGCCUGAUCCCUCGGGUGUUGAGGGACGUUUCCAGUGUGGAUCUGAGUUUGUCGGUGUUGGGCCACAAGCUCAACAUGCCCCUGUGUGUUGCAGCCACCGCUAUGCAGAGGAUGGCUCAUCCAGACGGCGAGACAGCCACUGCAAGAGCGUGCCAAGCGGUGGGGACGGGGAUGAUGCUGAGCUCAUGGGCCACCUCCACAAUCGAGGAAGUGAUGUCAGCCAUGACCACUUCGCCAGGCGUGGGUGGUGUGCUGUGGCUGCAGCUUUACAUCUACAAGGACAGAGAACUCACGCUCUCGUUGGUCCGCCGAGCAGAGGAGGCGGGUUACAAGGCCAUCUUCGUCACCGUGGAUACGCCGUACCUGGGGAGGAGGCUGGAGGACAUGAGGAACUGCUUUAAACUGCCCCCACAUCUGAGAUUGUCAAACUUCUCAACAGACUCCUUAGCUUUCUCAGAAGGAGACUAUGGCAGUGAUAGCGGCUUGGCUGUUUAUGUAGCAAAAGCCAUCGAUCCCUCCCUCUGCUGGGAUGACAUUACCUGGCUGAAGAAAAACACACACUUGCCUGUGAUUGUGAAAGGAGUGCUAACUGGGGAGGAUGCUGCCAGGGCUGUGAACUAUGGUGUUGAUGGCAUAUUGGUUUCCAAUCAUGGAGCUCGACAGCUGGAUGGGGUUCCUGCCACGCUUGACGUGUUGGAAGAGGUUGUGGGGGCGGUAAAAGGUAGAUGCGAUGUCUACCUGGAUGGUGGAGUGAGACGAGGGACCGACGUCCUGAAGGCGCUCGCCUUGGGAGCGAAGGCCGUCUUCAUUGGUCGGCCUGUGCUGUGGGGUCUCUCCUGUCAGGGGGAACAAGGUGUUAUUGCAGUUCUGCAACUUCUUAAAGAUGAGCUGAAACUAGCGAUGGGCUUAGCAGGUUGUCGCUCCCUAUCGGAGGUGAGCAGAUCCUUGGUGAGAAGAGUAGAGGUCACCUCAAGAAUUUAACACCAUGGCUGCAUAACUGCUCUGUUGAUUUUGAAAUAUAGUCGAGUCAUUGCUGAGGGGAUGGCCGAAUGCUGAUACCAACCUAAUUUGAAGGUAUUGGUAGUACAACAAACUACUUAGCGGAUUCCUACCACGCCAUUGACAGAUAGCAGCUGGUCUCCUCUCUUCAGGCCCCCCUGACGAUCAGCCACCCCGGCGGGUAUCACUCUGGAGAUGUAGAUGGGGGAGUUCUGCUCUUUGCCCCCCAUGAUAUUGAAACCCAAACCCUCGUCUGUCUUGGGCAGCUCCACCACCCGUGGAUGAGCGUGGCCCUCGCUGGCAGCAAACGCUGCCACGGUGGCCUAGUCAGGAUGAAAAUGAUAUUGUUAAAAAAUGCUCAAAUAAAGCUCGACUCGUGCAUUGUAAAA